AUUGAACGCUGGCGGCAGGCCUAACACAUGCAAGUCGAGCGAGCGGCGGACGGGUGAGUAAUGUCUGGGAAACUGCCUGAUGGAGGGGGAUAACUACUGGAAACUGUAGCUAAUACCCCAUCCCAUCAGAUGUGCCCAGAUGGGAUUAGCUAGUAGGUGGGGUAACGGCUCACCUAGGCGACGAUCCCUAGCUGGUCUGAGAGGAUGACCAGCCACAAGGGAACUGGGACACGGUCAAGACUCCUACGGGAGGCAGCAGUGGGGAAUAUUGCACAAUGGGCGCAAGCCUGAUGCAGCCAUGCCGAGGGGAUGAAGAAGGCCUUCGGGUUGUAAAGUACUUUCAGCGGGGAGGCGUUACCCGCAGAAGAAGCACCGGCUAACUCCGUGCCAGCCGCCGCGGUAAUAC
rnacentral:rRNA from 1 species